GCAAGUAGAGAAGCAGGAGGUGUUGUCGCACGGCGCUUCCUUUUUGAUGGUUCCAGAGAUUCUACCCGGUGAAUGGGCCCUCUCAAAACCACUAU
rnacentral:ribozyme from 1 species